AACGAACGCUGGCGGCAGGCCUAACACAUGCAAGUCGAACGCUCCAGCAAUGGAGAGUGGCAGACGGGUGAGUAACACGUGGGAACCUUCCCUAUGGUUCGGAAUAGCUCAGGGAAACUUGGGGUAAUACCGGAUAAGCCCUUCGGGGAAGAUUUAUCGCCAUUGGAUGGGCCGCGUCGGAUUAGCUAGUUGGUGAGGUAACGGCUCACCAAGGCAACGAUCCGUAGCUGGUCUGAGAGGAUGAUCAGCCACACUGGGACUGAGACACGGCCCAGACUCCUACGGGAGGCAGCAGUGGGGAAUAUUGGACAAUGGGCGCAAGCCUGAUCCAGCCAUGCCGC
rnacentral:rRNA from 1 species